rnacentral:misc_RNA from 1 species
GAUAAGAACGUAGCGAAAUGCGAUACUUGGUGUGAAUUGCAGAAUCCCGCGAAUCAUCGAGUUUUUGAACGCAAGUUGCGCCCGAAGCCAUUCGGCCGAGGGCACGUCUGCCUGGGUGUCACGCAUCGUUGCCCCCCCAAACUCCGGUUCGGGCGGGGCGGAAGUUGGCCUCCCGUGCGUGCCUGCGCGCGCGGUUAGCCCAAAAGCGAGUCCUCGGCGAUGAGCGCCACGACAAUCGGUGGUUUUUUUACCCUCGUUCCUCGUCGUGCGUGCCCCGUCGCCCGAACGCGCUCUUGCAACCCUUACGCGUCGCCUCGGUGGCGCUCCCAACGCGACCCCAGGUCAGGCGGGACUACCCGCUGAGUUUAAGCAUAUCAAUAAGCGGAGGA